rnacentral:lncRNA from 1 species
AAAGAGGCCUUAUGGUUUAGAGGUUUACUUCAUGAACUAUGUGUCUUGAAUGAGUGUGGUUGUGUAUUUUGAUAGUCAGUCAUCCAUACAUUUAUGUAAGAACCCUGUUUUUCACGAACGCACUAAACACAUUGAUGUUAGACUACACUUUAUUAGAGAUAUAGUAUCUCAAGAGGUGGUGAAACUUGAAAAAGUUCACACACAAUACAAUCCUUUAGAUAUGAGCACGAAGGUGCUGCCACUGGUAAAAUUUAGAAGUUGCAAGGAUCUUCUAAACAUUGGUACAUGUAAAUGAUUUCCAAUUUUAUCGAUUUUCUAUUAGAGGUGUUACUAAUGGAAGGCGUUUUCUUUUUGCAGGUCCUUUGACACCAAGGUGGAGGUUGUUAGACAAAUUUGUUGUCAAACGACCUCCCUCGGGCUAUGAUGUUACUCGGUUUAAUUUUUCAGUCGGUUUAGCCAAAUGACUGAACGGGAAUCCAAUACCACAUUCAAGACGAUACAACCCAAAGGUUAAUUGGGCCACUCGAAGCAACCUAAAUACUUUAGUGUGCUCGUGGCCCAAUCCACUCCCUUGGAUGGCCUUUAAUUGAGAGAAAAGCUUGUGAGCCCACUUAACUAUCUUUUGGGCCUUUGACCUAACCCAUUAGUUAACCUACUUAAACUUACCUUAUUUGGGCUAUUGGUAAAAAGGUUAAAUGGGCUUCUUUUCUCUCUAAGUGAGAGAUGUCUCACCCCUCGCUCUCUCUUGGCCGGUUUUCUAUGAUUUCUCUUCUACUCUUCUGCCUCUUUGUGUAUACCAUCUUAAUGGUGAUAUUAAAUGAGAUUUCUUCUACCUUUGUGGUCUCAAUAGUGGAAUAUCUCAUUGGCAAUCGGAAGUGGAGCUUUGUAUUGUCUUGGUUCGUAGUUGUCGGCUUUGUGGUGUUGGAAGUGGGUAUAAACUGAGCCUGGGUUAUCUUUGAUGAUCAAUACCAUCACCUUACAGUAGGUUAUUCCAUUGCCACCAGAAAAGAAGCUACCAUCCCAAGACCUAUGAAUGGUCCAGCCUGCACCAGUCAAUGUGCCAACAAAGAUAGGUAUUUCUACGAUUAUUAGCUAGUUCUUAAUUCUGUUUUUUUAUUAACAUCAUAUUUUUGUAACAUUGCUGAAGGAAGAAGCAAAGGUUUGAAGUAUGUCAAUGCUAAAGAUUAAAAUAUAACAAACAUUAAUAGGUUAUGUUCUCUCUACAUGUUAGGAAUUAAGAAAUUUUCAGAGGCCAGUCUAUAUCAAAGUUGGUAUAUAUAUAUAACGGACCCUCUUGCUUUCUUUCAUCCAUAUUAGUUAAGUAGCAGUAUACCAAGUAUCAAAAAGGAAUCUCUAAAUCAUUAGAAGUUAGUAUUUUAAUAUAAAUUAUUGAAUUAAACAUAAUGUUAUUGCCUCAGCCAUGACCUCGAACUUCCCAGACCAGAGGGAAUUGUAUUAAGUCCAGGAAUACAAAAAAGGUACUCGGAGGCCUCCUGAGUUUGUUUAGAACUUUCUUAUCUGCCUUCCACUUCUGGGUCUACCUUGUAUCUACUUUGGUGAAUGUCUUUCUCUUCCCAGCUUCCAUGAAAUUGAAAAGAUAAUCACAAUACAUUACUUUGACAUCUCAAAGGAAGUGAAGCAAAGAGUGAGAAAGUUGAGUUUGUACAACUAUUUUCUUCUUCUUAGUUAUUAGAAAGAAAAAUACAGAUGUUGUCAAUGUUCGUUAGAUGUCAUCUAACUACUAAUUUCUCAGUGUAUAAUUUUUUGAAACAUGACUACAUUACAUGGUUCUUAUGAAAAAUCAAAAUGAAAUGUCACUCACUUCAUUUUCUAUCGACUACAGAUUGGAAAGUCACUCUUCCAUAUAUUGAAUGUUUCAUUGACAUGUACGCGUAUCCUUAAUGAUCUAAGUUGCCAGCAUUCUGAUCUUGGUUGCUUACAAUAGGAGCUUCAUAUUCCAAUACAUUUUUGUGAAUUAAGCUAUGGAAGAACAUACAUUACAGGGAUACAAAAGGCUGGAUCCAUCCCGUGACUAAGGAGAAAUAUGUAAUGAAACUAGUCUUAUCAAAAUUUUGGAACUUGGCUAGGCUUUUUAUUUUGGAUUCCAUUAUGGUUUAGACUGUGUUUUUAUAGUUGGUAUUGGAAUUGACUUGUAAAGAUGCUAUAUAUUAUUUUGCCUUGUAAAUAUUUUGCUAGAGGCUUUUGGUUGUGACUAUUGUUUUUUGUUUUCGGAUAUUUUUUAUUUUGAAAUUUUUAUUGGUAUAUUGUGUUGGAG